rnacentral:lncRNA from 1 species
ACAAUCAAUUUAUUUUUCAAAUCCUUUUGUAGCUGUACGAGCUCUUCCCGCAUGCCACAAAUGACCUAAGAAGAAGAAAAAUCCUAGAACAAAAUAAGAGGUAGCUACAAAGGUGGAUCUAUUAAUUAGUCAUGUCAUAUAGGCUCGAGUUGGACAUCCAAUUUCUUUGAUUUGAAUUAUUCAGAGAAUGCAAUGCCUGAUAUAAAAAAUAUGGAUAAUCAAACCUAUUUCUCGAUUCACUCAGAGAGGUGAAUAGGGUCCCAAUAGAGAUAUGUAAAAUGCAGGUUCGAUUAUGCAUAUUUCUAAUGCUAAAUGGAAUGUUGGUAAAACUUAUGUUCCACGUCAAUAAAGACUACAAACUGGUAUUGCUAACGAGAAUCUAACAAAGCGAGGUUGCUAAAGAAAAGCUUAUUUCGGAUUUGUAUACGAGAAUAAGAAGAAUGGAAGUACAAGAGGACAAGAAGGAGGAGAGGCGGGUACAGUUUUACGUCAGUUUCAUUUGCUUGGUAACCUCUUUCCCGGUCAAAGAUAGGAAAGAGCCGUGAAAUCACUUUACUCUCGUGCAUUUAUAAUAUUGUAUUAAAGUUUAAGAUAUCAUAAGCAUCUUGCUUUUCUUUUCAAGAUAUAUUAAACACCUAAGGUUCUGUUAAAGUAUCCUUAAUAACAUCUCUUUCUCUAGAAUACAGGCUUGUAGAUCUUUGGAUGCCUAAACUAGUCCCCCUCCUCUGUUUCUUCAAAGACAAAGAUACACAUCACAGGAAAAAAACUCCAAAACAGAAAAAUAAAAAAGUAAGUAAAAAAAUAGGGCCAGAACAGGUGGUUGGUAUACCAUAAUAAUAAAUCUUUGUAUUUUUAUACGGAUCGGAUUUAUGUAGGUUUUGUUGGGAGGCUCGCAUAGUUAGUUACAUCAGCUCCAAAAUAAUAAGUUGCAUUGGAAUUUAUAAAUUUCUGGUUAUUCACAUUUUCUAUUCAUUGUCCUGAGCUAGGAGUCUAUCGGAAACAACCUCUCUACUUCUUCGGAGGUAGCGGUAUGGGCUGCAUACAUUUUAACCUCCCCAGACCUUACUUUGUGGGAAUACACUGGGUUUUUUGUUGUUGUUGUUGGUUAUUCAAAUUUCAUUUGAUGGUCAGAGGCGAAUUAAAAGCUAAGCAGUGGGGCUCCUUGUUCUUCACUUUGUCUUGUUGGCAAAUAAAAUAAGUAUCCACAUAGACUUCGAUCUUUUCUCUCACUUGCAACCAAUAAUAUGCCUACUAGUACACUUUCUUUACAAGGGAACUAGGCAGGGGAACUUACUUCACUUGCUUUUUAUUUAAUGGUACUUCAAGAUUGG